UACGUAGGGGGCAAGCGUUGUCCGGAUUUAUUGGGCGUAAAGAGCGUGUAGGCGGCCAGGUAGGUCCGUUGUGAAAACUCGAGGCUCAACCUCGAGACGCCGAUGGAAACCAUCUGGCUAGAGUCCGGAAGAGGAGAGUGGAAUUCCCGGUGUAGCGGUGAAAUGCGCAGAUAUCAGGAGGAACACCGGUGGCGAAGGCGGGUCUCUGGGCCGAUAUUGACGCUGAGGAGCGAAAGCGUGGGGAGCGAACAGG
rnacentral:rRNA from 1 species